CCUACGGGUGGCAGCAGUGAGGAAUAUUGGUCAAUGGACGAGAGUCUGAACCAGCCAAGUAGCGUGAAGGACGACUGCCCCAUGGGUUGUAAACUUCUUUUAUAUGGGAAUAAAACAAGGUAUGCAUACCCUCUCGUAUGUACCAUAUGAAUAAGGAUCGGCUAACUCCGUGCCAGCAGCCGCGGUAAUACGGAGGAUCCGAGCGUUAUCCGGAUUUGUUGGGUUUAAAGGGAGCGUAGGUGGAUUGUUAAGUCAGUUGUGAAAGUUUGCGGCUCAACCGUAAAAUUGCAGUUGAAACUGGCAGUCUUGAGUACAGUAGAGGUGGGCGGAAUUCGUGGUGUAGCGGUGAAAUGCUUAGAUAUCACGAAUAACUCCGAUUGCGAAGGCAGCUCACUGGACUGCAACUGACACUGAUGCUCGAAAGUGUGGGUAUCAAACAGGAUUAGAUACCCUUGUAGUC
rnacentral:rRNA from 1 species